GCCGUAUCAGGCCGAGGGAUCCUGCGGGCUCGGCCGAGCGGCAGCACCUGCCCUCGAGGGUGGUCUCCGCGGACCGAGGCGUGCCGGGCCGUGCGGAGAGGCGCGGCCCAGAUGGCUACAUCAGAGGGUCUGUUGUUUGUUUCUAGAUUGUCAGUGGAGCUCCACUCCUGUGCGGGCAAUUUUAAUUAACACUAACUACUAAAGGGCCGCUCCAGGCACUUGGCGCAUGUGGCUCGCACCUGCCUGCAAUGCGCCGCGCGGGCCGCCCGCUGAUGGCCAUGCGGAGCCUCCCCGCUUUGCUCUGGCGCCGAAGCGCUGGGAUUGGGACCGCCCUUCCUCCGGACCAGCUCACCCUGGAAAAGCUGGGAAAGCUGGGGUUGCUUUUUCGGGUUUCCUCGGACUCUGGGUCUCCGUUGGCAAAGACAUGCCCAGUCGGGAGGAGUAAGGCCUGAGAGAGUUGUUUUAUUACUUGGGUGAGUUGGCUCCCCAGGCUUUUGAGAUACCUGCCUUUUGUCCAGCACUGCAUCGUCCUCGCAUAUCCAAGGCCGUGUCUCCCUUCAGCAUCACCACUCGGUAGUUAUAAUUCCGCCUUUUAUCUGAAGCUGAUACAUUUUCAUCGGCAUCAGACCGUAUUUCUAUGUAUUCAAUAUCUGACACAGAAAAAAGAAUAUUUUAAAGGAA